CCUACGGGUGGCAGCAGUGGGGAAUAUUGCACAAUGGGGGGAACCCUGAUGCAGCGACGCCGCGUGGGUGAAGGAGUAUUUCGGUAUGUAAAGCCCUAUCAGCAGGGAAGAACAAUGACGGUACCUGACUAAGAAGCACCGGCUAAAUACGUGCCAGCAGCCGCGGUAAUACGUAUGGUGCAAGCGUUAUCCGGAUGUACUGGGUGGAAAGGGAGCGCAGGCGGGGCGUUAAGCCUGGUGUGAAAGCCCGCGGCCCAACCGCGGGACUGCCUUGGGAACGGGCGCGCUGGAGUGCCGGAGGGGUCGGCGGCAUUCCUCGUGUAGCGGUGAAAUGCGUCGAUAUUCG
rnacentral:rRNA from 1 species